UGCAAUUCUAACGAUGAAAGCUAGCUUGCUUCGUGGAUUAUUGGUGAACUGGGCACGCAGACAGGGUUAGCCUAGCGUUAGCUCUGGGAUAAGCGUGCGAAACUGUUUCUAAUAGCGGAUACAACCAAUCUCCUCAUGGUGUGUUGGUGGAAAGCGUUAUGUAUUGGUUAUAGAUGGGCUCACGGCCUAUCAGCUUGUUGGUGAGGUAACGGCUCACCAAGGCGACGACGGGUAGCCGGCCUGAGAGGGUGACCGGCCACACUGGGACUGAGACACGGCCCAGACUCCUACGGGAGGCAGCAGUGGGGAAUAUUGCACAAUGGGCGCAAGCCUGAUGCAGCGACGCCGCGUGAGGGAUGACGGCCUUCGGGUUGUAAACCUCUGUUAGCAGGGAAGAAGAGAGAUUGACGGUACCUGCAGAGAAAGCGCCGGCUAACUACGUGCCAGCAGCCGCGGUAAUACGUAGGGCGCGAGCGUUGUCCGGAAUUAUUGGGCGUAAAGAGCUUGUAGGCGGUUUGUCGCGUCUGCUGUGAAGGCCGGGGCUUAACUCCGUGUAUUGCAGUGGGUACGGGCAGACUAGAGUGCAGUAGGGGAGACUGGAAUUCCUGGUGUAGCGGUGGAAUGCGCAGAUAUCAGGAGGAACACCGAUGGCGAAGGCAGGUCUCUGGGCUGUAACUGACGCUGAGAAGCGAAAGCAUGGGGAGCGAACAGGAUUAGAUACCCUGGUAGUCCAUGCCGUAAACGUUGGGCACUAGGUGUGGGGGACAUUCCACGUUUUCCGCGCCGUAGCUAACGCAUUAAGUGCCCCGCCUGGGGAGUACGGCCGCAAGGCUAAAACUCAAAGAAAUUGACGGGGGCCCGCACAAGCGGCGGAGCAUGCGGAUUAAUUCGAUGCAACGCGAAGAACCUUACCAAGGCUUGACAUAUACUGGACCGCAUCAGAGAUGGUGUUUCCCUUCGGGGCUGGUAUACAGGUGGUGCAUGGUUGUCGUCAGCUCGUGUCGUGAGAUGUUGGGUUAAGUCCCGCAACGAGCGCAACCCUCGUUCUAUGUUGCCAGCACGUUAUGGUGGGGACUCAUAGGAGACUGCCGGGGUCAACUCGGAGGAAGGUGGGGAUGACGUCAAAUCAUCAUGCCCCUUAUGUCUUGGGCUUCACGCAUGCUACAAUGGCCGGUACAGAGGGUUGCGAUACUGUGAGGUGGAGCUAAUCCCUAAAAGCCGGUCUCAGUUCGGAUUGGGGUCUGCAACUCGACCCCAUGAAGUCGGAGUCGCUAGUAAUCGCAGAUCAGCAACGCUGCGGUGAAUACGUUCCCGGGCCU
rnacentral:rRNA from 1 species